rnacentral:rRNA from 1 species
GAUGAACGCUGGCGGCGUGCUUAACACAUGCAAGUCGAACGAGCCUUGUCGGACGGAUCCCUUCGGGGUGAAGACUGGCGCUGGCGAGUGGCGGACGGGUGAGUAACGCGUGGGGAACCUGCCUCAUUCCGGGGGAUACCAGUCGGAAACGGCUGUUAAUACCGCAUAAGCGCACGGUGUGGCAUCACACAGUGUGAAAAACUCCGGUGGAAUGAGAUGGCCCCGCGUCUGAUUAGGCAGUUGGUGAGGUAACGGCUCACCAAACCGACGAUCAGUAGCCGGCCUGAGAGGGUGAACGGCCACAUUGGGACUGAGACACGGCCCAGACUCC